AUCAGUGGCGAACGGGUGAGUAACACGUGAGCAAUCUGCCCCUGACUCUGGGAUAAGCGCUGGAAACGGCGUCUAAUACCGGAUACGAGCUGCGACCGCAUGGUCAGUAGCUGGAAAGAAUUUCGGUCAGGGAUGAGCUCGCGGCCUAUCAGCUUGUUGGUGAGGUAAUGGCUCACCAAGGCGUCGACGGGUAGCCGGCCUGAGAGGGUGACCGGCCACACUGGGACUGAGACACGGCCCAGACUCCUACGGGAGGCAGCAGUGGGGAAUAUUGCACAAUGGGCGCAAGCCUGAUGCAGCAACGCCGCGUGAGGGAUGACGGCCUUCGGGUUGUAAACCUCUUUUAGCAGGGAAGAAGCGAAAGUGACGGUACCUGCAGAAAAAGCGCCGGCUAACUACGUGCCAGCAGCCGCGGUAAUACGUAGGGCGCAAGCGUUAUCCGGAAUUAUUGGGCGUAAAGAGCUCGUAGGCGGUCUGUCGCGUCUGCUGUGAAAACCCGAGGCUCAACCUCGGGCCUGCAGUGGGUACGGGCAGACUAGAGUGCGGUAGGGGAGAUUGGAAUUCCUGGUGUAGCGGUGGAAUGCGCAGAUAUCAGGAGGAACACCGAUGGCGAAGGCAGAUCUCUGGGCCGUAACUGACGCUGAGGAGCGAAAGGGUGGGGAGCAAACAGGCUUAGAUACCCUGGUAGUCCACCCCGUAAACGUUGGGAACUAGUUGUGGGGUCCAUUCCACGGAUUCCGUGACGCAGCUAACGCAUUAAGUUCCCCGCCUGGGGAGUACGGCCGCAAGGCUAAAACUCAAAGGAAUUGACGGGGACCCGCACAAGCGGCGGAGCAUGCGGAUUAAUUCGAUGCAACGCGAAGAACCUUACCAAGGCUUGACAUAUAGAGGAAACGUCUGGAAACAGUCGCCCCGCAAGGUCUCUAUACAGGUGGUGCAUGGUUGUCGUCAGCUCGUGUCGUGAGAUGUUGGGUUAAGUCCCGCA
rnacentral:rRNA from 1 species